UUCUUUUUCACUUUUCCCUAGCUCAAACACUCUCUUCACUCUCUCAUCCUCUCCCACCGGUACCACUCUACACCCAUAUCCACCAUCAUUUUUCUAGCAAGAUCACUAGAAAAUCCUUAAGAACCUCUAAGCACCUUCACAUCUUUUACUUGAGGUUCUAGCUAAUCUCCUUUGGAGCUUGGAGAGUUAGACUUUUGCAAGUUGCAAGUCUUUGUAACAACAGAAUCAGAUCUUGGUCAGUGCCCUUUCACUUUGGAUGACACGUUCUUCACUGCUGCCCAUGGGAAGAAGAGGUUCCUUGAUUGUGUG